UACGGAGGGGGCUAGCGUUGUUCGGAAUUACUGGGCGUAAAGCGCACGUAGGCGGCUUUGUAAGUUAGAGGUGAAAGCCCAGGGCUUAACCCUGGAAUUGCCUUUAAGACUGCAUCGCUAGAAUCGUGGAGAGGUGAGUGGAAUUCCGCGUGUAGCAGUGAAAUGCGUAGAUAUGCGGAGGAACACCGAUGGCGAAGGCAAUCCCCUGGACCUGUACUGACGCUCAUGCACGAAAGCGUGGGGAGCAAACAGG
rnacentral:rRNA from 1 species